CAGUCGCCGCGGGAACACGAAGGGGGCUAGCGUUGUUCGGAUUUACUGGGCGUAAAGCGCGCGUAGGCGGUUACUCAAGUCAGAGGUGAAAGCCCGGGGCUCAACCCCGGAACUGCCUUUGAAACUAGGUGACUAGAAUCUUGGAGAGGUCAGUGGAAUUCCGAGUGUAGAGGUGAAAUUCGUAGAUAUUCGGAAGAACACCAGUGGCGAAGGCGACUGACUGGACAAGUGUUGACGCUGAGGUGCGAAAGCGUGGGGAGCAAACAGGAUUAGAUACCCCGGUAGUCCCUGUCUCUUAUAC
rnacentral:rRNA from 1 species